UACGUAGGGGGCAAGCGUUGGUCCGGAAUCAUUGGGCGUAAAGCGCGCGUAGGUGGCUUCGUAAGUCCGUUGUGAAAGUUCAAAGGCUCAACCUUUGAAAGCCGAUGGAUACUGUGGAGCUAGAGUACGGAAGAGGCGAGUGGAAUUCCUGGUGUAGCGGUGAAAUGCGCAGAUAUCAGGAGGAACACCGGUGGCGAAGGCGGGUCUCUGGGCAGUAACUGACGCUGAGGAGCGAAAGCGUGGGGAGCGAACAGG
rnacentral:rRNA from 1 species